rnacentral:rRNA from 1 species
CACUAUGCCUAGCCGUAAACAUAGACAGUCCACAUACCCCACUGUCCGCCCGGGGACUACGAGCAUUAGCUUAAAACCCAAAGGACUUGGCGGUGCUUUAUACCCACCUAGAGGAGCCUGUUCUAGAACCGAUAACCCCCGUUCAACCUCACCCUUCCUUGUUCUUCCCGCCUAUAUACCGCCGUCGUCAGUUUACCCUGUGAAGGCCCAAUAGUAAGCAAAAUCGGCAUAGCCUAAAACGUCAGGUCGAGGUGUAGCGUAUGGAAGGGGAAGAAAUGGGCUACAUUCCCUAUCGUAGGGCAUACGGAUGAUUAUGCUGAAACGCAUGUCUGAAGGAGGAUUUAGCAGUAAGCAGAAAGUAGAGUGUUCUGCUGAAGCCGGCUCUGAAGCGCGUACACACCGCCCGUCACUCUCCCCAAGCUAACACAUUAAGACUAAUUAAAACACCACAAUUGCAAAGGGGAGGCAAGUCGUAA